UUUGAAAAAAGUAUCGAUUCUUUUAGGAAAAAGUAUCGAUUCAUUUAUGGAAAAGUUUCGAUUCAAUUUGGGAAAAGUAGCGAUUCUUUUUGUAAAAAGUAGCGAUUCACUUUGAAAAAAUAUCGAUUCAUCUUGGAAAAAGUAUCGAUUCUUUUUGGGAAAAGUAUCGAUUAAAUUUGGGAAAAGUAGCAAUUCACUUUGAAAAAAGUAGCGAUUCAAUUUGGGAAAAGUAGCGAUUCACUUUGGAAAAAGUAUCGAUUCUUUGUGGAAAAAGUAUCGAUUAAUUUUGGGAAAAGUAGCGAUUC